AAUAGAUACCCGGGUAGUCCACGCCGUAAACGAUGAGUGCUAAGUGUUAGAGGGUUUCCGCCCUUUAGUGCUGAAGUUAACGCAUUAAAGCACUCCGCCUGGGGAGUACGGCCGCAAGGCUGAAACUCAAAGGAAUUGACGGGGGCCCGCACAAGCGGUGGAGCAUGUGGUUUAAUUCGAAGCAACGCGAAGAACCUUACCAGGUCUUGACAUCCUCUGACAACCCUAGAGAUAGGGCUUCUCCUUCGGGAGCAGAGUGACAGGUGGUGCAUGGUUGUCGUCAGCUCGUGUCGUGAGAUGCUGGGUUAAGUCCCGCAACGAGCGCAACCCUUGAUCUUAGUUGCCAUCAUUAAGUUGGGCACUCUAAGGUGACUGCCGGUGACAAACCGGAGGAAGGUGGGGAUGACGUCAAAUCAUCAUGCCCCUUAUGACCUGGGCUACACACGUGCUACAAUGGACGGUACAAAGAGCUGCAAGACCGCGAGGUGGAGCUAAUCUCAUAAAAACCCGUUCUCAGUUCGGA
rnacentral:rRNA from 1 species